UCUGCAGUUGAUGACAUAAGUUUCCCCUCAGUCAUAUUAACUUUGUUGAUCUAACUGAACCAUUAACCAGUGUUUUCUGAUGCAUUGGA